rnacentral:rRNA from 1 species
GGNGGGAGGCAGCAGUNAGGAAUAUUGCGCAAUGGAGGCAACUCUGACGCAGCCAUGCCGCGUGCAGGAAGAAGGCGCUACGCGUUGUAAACUGCUUUUAAUCGGGAAGAAACCCCGGGACGUGUCCCGGGUUGACGGUACCGAUGGAAUAAGCACCGGCUAACUUCGUAGCCAGCAGCCGCGG